UUACAGCCAUAUCACGUUGAAACACCGAUUCUCGUGCGAUCACCGAAGUUAAGCAACGUUGAGCCUGAUGGGAGACCGCUUGGGAAUACCAAGUGCUGUAU